CGUAUAUUAAAGUUGUUGCGGUUAAAAAGCUCGUAGUUGGUUCUGCGUGCCGCGCUGUCGGUUCGCCGCCUGUCGGUGUAACUGGCAUGUCGCGGCAUGUCCUGUCGGUGGUGAACGGAGUCCACGACGCUACAUGGGCUUUAUAGUCGAUGUUAGCAUCGUGUGUACUUCCGUUGGCCGAUCUCUCCUACUUCGGUGCUCUUAAACGAGUGUCGAGGUAGGCCGACACGUUCACUUUGAACAAAUUAGAGUGCUUAAAGCAGGCUGAAAUAUCUGCCUGAAUAGUGGUGCAUGGAAUGAUAAAACAGGACCUCGGUUCUAUUUUGUUGGUUUUAGGAAUAUGAGGUAAUGAUCAAUGUGGACUGGCGGGGGCAUUCGUAUUGCGACGUUAGAGGUGAAAUUCUUGGAUCGUCGCAAGACGCACUAGAGCGAAAGCAUUUGCCAAGUAUGUCUUAAUUGAUCAAGAACGAAAGUUAGAGGUUCGAAGGCGAUCAGAUACCGCCCUAGUUCUAACCAUAAACGAUGCCAGCCAGCGAUCCGCCGAUGUUCCUUUAAUGACUCGGCGGGGAGCUUCCACCCGGGAAACCAAAGCUUUUGGGUUCCGGGGGAAGUAUGGUUGCAAAG
rnacentral:rRNA from 1 species